UACGAAGGGGGCUAGCGUUGUUCGGAAUUACUGGGCGUAAAGCGCACGUAGGCGGAUAUUUAAGUCAGGGGUGAAAUCCCGGGGCUCAACUCCAGAACUGCCUUUGAUACUGGCGAUCUUGAGUCCGGGAGAGGUGAGUGGAACUGCGAGUGUAGAGGUGAAAUUCGUAGAUAUUCGCAAGAACACCAGUGGCGAAGGCGGCUCACUGGCCCGGUACUGACGCUGAGGUGCGAAAGCGUGGGGAGCAAACAGG
rnacentral:rRNA from 1 species